CUCAGAGUUUGAAAAUCGUCAAGAAGCGUAAAGAAGACGAUCCUCUUCUUUCGCUUUUCUCUUCGCCGUCGUCUCCGAUCGCCCAAAGCCUCUAGGGUUCCGUCGGAUCCGGUUUGGGUUCUUUUUGUUUCUGAUUUUGGUCGGGAGGAAGAGAGAGUUUGGUAAUGGCACUUUCGGCUUCCGAUUUGCCUGCGAUGUACUCGCUGUUGGUGAAUUCCAUGAGUAGCGAAGAAGCCGUCCGGAAACCAGCGGAGGCGGCAUUUUCUCACUCGGAAAGCAGACCUUGAUUCUGUUCUUGCCUCAUGGGGUACAAGCAAUGGUGGAAAAACGCACGUGAGGCAAAAAUUGUUGUCUCACUUGACAGAUAAAAUGCUUUGGUUGUUAACACUUUUCCCCCUAUUUUACGAAGGACCACUAAGACAUGCAUCUUGUGAAUACAUCUGACUUCCCGUGAUAGCUGAAAUGUUGGCUGUUCUUGUUUCGAAGAUUGCUCGCUUUGAUUAUCCUAGAGACUGGUGAAAUGUGUGAUUGAAUGUAAAGAAUAUAACCCAUGUAUAGUGGGUCGUGUUAUGGAUGAAAAUGGAGUCACACAGGAGCAGAUGAAAAAGAAUGCGUCGAAUGUAGCCGGCUGCAUUAUCUCUUCUCUUCUACCGACAGAAAGGAUCAUUCGUUUGUGCAGCAUACUAGUAAGAAGGUACAUUGUUCUGACACCAAAUGACCUGGAGGAGUGGUAACAGAACCCUGAGUCCUUCCAUCAUGAGCAGGACAUGAUUCAAUGGACAAAGAAAUUGAGGCCUUUUGCUGAAGCUGUUAGGACCCAUUGUAGUGUCAAUCCUUCAAGAAGCAAUGAAUAGUUGUCCCCCCUCUGUGACAGAAAUAACGCCUGCAUUACUACAUAAAGAUGCUGCGUAUGGUGCUGCUGCCUAUGUCUACUAUGAGUUGUCAAAUUAUCUUCAUUUCAGUGAUUGGUUUAACAGUGCUCUAUCUCUUGGAAUCGCAAAUGCCCAUCCAAAUAGACAUAUCAUCCACCGAAAAGUUGUCCUCAUAUUAGGACAAUGGGUUUCUGAGAUUAAAGAUGAAUCAAAAAGGGCAGUCUAUUGUUCUUUGGUAAGAUUGUUGCGAGACAAUGGCCUGGCUGUCAAGCUGGCAGCCAGUAGGUCCUUGUAUUUACACAUUAAAGAUGCCAACUUCUCAGAGCGAGAAUUUUCUGAUCUUCUCCCAGUCUGUUAAUCUGGUGGAUGAAGUUCAAGAGUUCGAUUCAAAGGUCCAAGUUCUGGAUUUAAUUUCUAUUCUUAUCGGGCAUGUUAGCGAUAUCAUUCCAUAUGCAGACAAAUUGGUCCAGUUCUUCCAGAAGAAGAGCAUCGACGUAAAUAGCCCAGAUGAACUCAACCUUCUCGAGGAUAGUAUGACAUUAUGGGAUGCCACACUUUAUUUUGCUCCUGUGAUGGUGCCCCAACUAUUAGCAUGCUUUUUUUUUUUGUUUUCCAAGGAGGUUGUUGUCCUUAUCACGGGAUUAAGGUGAUGUUGAUGUUGAUGAUGAUGAUGAUGAUGAUGAUGAUGCUCCCACUGUUGCGAAGAUUCUUGAUCUCAUAAUUGGAAUGUAAAUGACAAAGGGAUGUUGUCGACUUUGCCAGUGAUCGAUAUUUUGGUACAGACAGGGAUGUCUACAGGGCUGGGGCAAAUCUUGUCGCUGGCGGCUUCUCGGUCCAUCCCAACCGUUCCUCUCCCAACCGUGCAGGAGAACGACCUGUCCCUCUCUUUUUCCAAUGUGGGACGCCCCUAACUCCACCACAAAAGCUAGUUUAAGAGUGGAGGUUUGACCCUUCUUAUAUAUUGGCCCCAAAUCCCUCUCUUUUUCCAAUGUGGGACACUUAUCAGAAACUUGUAAUUAUUUGCUUGGGUGGAGGAGAUGAUUGAGGUACUUUCAAGACUGUGGUGAAAGCAUCUUCAGCAGCUAUCUUAGCAAGGAUUCUGGUGAUGAAUACCAGUUACCUGGCCCAGUUAACAUCUGGACAAUCUCUCUGUGUUACUCCAGCA